rnacentral:rRNA from 1 species
AUGCAUAAUGUUGUCCAUAUUGACGAGAAGUGGUUCAACAUGACCAAGAAGAAUAGAACCUAUUAUCUGCUGGACGGGGAGGAAGAGCCUACAAGGCCUAUACAUGGCAACUGUAUUGGAAAGGUGAUGUUCUUGACGGCCGUUGCUAGGUCGAGGUGGGACAGUGAAGGAAACGUGACCUUCUCUAGGAAAAUCGGUAUCUGGCCAUUCGUGAAAGAAGUUCCUGCUCAAAGGAGAAGCGACAACAGGCCUAGAGGUACAAUAGAGACAAAAUCAAUAAAGGUCGACAGAAAAGUGAUGAGGGAGUUCCUGAUAGAGAAGGUCUUGCCAGCAAUACAAGCUGUUUGGCCUGAAGGCGAUGCUGGACAAACCAUCUACAUUCAGCAGGAUAAUGCUAAGCCCCAUAUCUUGCCAGAUGAUCAGGAAUUUCUAGAAGCUGUCGCAAAAACUGGACUUGACAUCAGAAUAAUACAACAGCCUCCCAACAGUCCUGAUUUGAAUGUGCUUGACCUUGGGUUUUUCAACUCGCUCCAAUCCCUGACAGAUUGUCUGAGUCCUAAAACACUACAAGACCUUAUUAAGGGUGUUUUGGAGGAAUUUGAAGGCUAUGAUGUUUACAAGCUCAACAGAAUUUUCCUAACUCUGCAGACGUGCAUGAUUGAGAUCCUAAACCAUGCAGGGGGCAAUGGGGAUAAAAUACCCCAUGUAAACAAGGAAAGGCUUGAGGGGAUUGGCUAA